ensembl:lncRNA
AUGCUCCCAAGGAAGCCUUUGAACUCUAAUCUGAUGCCUCAUCUUUACUCUUAUUCUCUUGUUCACAACAUUAUGUUAUAUUGUUAUCCUCUUAAAACUCCUACAGAGUCUUACUUUUAUUCAAAAAAAAUCUGUGAAUCAACCAAGAGAUGUUUCAGGUGCCUCUUUGCUGUCCGUGAAAUGCCACCCCAGCUUUCCAGCGCCCAAGCAAAGAUCUAUCAGCAAAGGGGCAAGUGCCUGAGGGUGCAAGGAUUUGGGAGAAAAGAACAGAGGACAAGUCUCUCCACCUCCAUUAAAGUCUGGCAUUCUCCAUUACUGAGACUCAGCAUCAAAGAAGACCUGUCAGGAAAUCUUUUUGCGUGGUUAUGGGUCAGAUGGGAAGAUGGUGACCACGAAGGCCCACUGGAAGAGGAUCCAACCUGCAGAGGGGAAAGAGAGCAAGAGCACAACACACCAAACACAAGUCUAUCCUCAGGAGAAGUGAGAGUUGGUGUCAAGAAGAAAUUAAAGAAAAAGCUAUCCCCGAGAGAAGUGAGAGUCGGGUUCAAGAACCACUGGCAAUUCAGGGAAGCCACUGUUGCUUCCUACCAGCGCCUCUUUUUGCCACCAAGUUGGAAGGCCAACAGAGGAGAGGAUCCAACCUGCAGAGGGGAAACAGAGCAAGAGACGAACACACCAGACACAAGUCUAUCCUCAGGAGAGGUGAGAGCUAGUGCCAAAGACAAAGUACAGACAAAGCUAUCCUCGGGAGAAGUGAGAGCCGGGUCCAAGAACCAUUGGCAAUUCAAGGAAGCCACUGUUGCUUCUCACUAGCUCCUCUCUUUGCCACCAAGUUGGAAAGCCAACAGAAAAGCUAAAGAACCAGAGGAGAGAUACUCCAUUUUAUUCUCAAAAGAAAGUGAAAUCUCUCACUCGGUUUCAGCAAAGCUAGGGGAGGAAGGUUCUUCUUUGCUCUCAGAGGUCAGCAAACCACAGAACUCUGGCUCAAUCAAUUGUUUCUCGUAUUGUCCCUCUGGGGACAAUGAUGUUCUCCACUAUGGUUCCUCAAAGAAGAUGGAAGAAGGCUCCUGUUGUCUGCCUUUCUUGGCUUAUCCAACCCGAGAUUGUUUAGAAACCCAGGAAUCCCUGAAAGAAGAUGCUGUAGGCCAAGGCCCCUUUAUCAAAAAUGAUCACUAUCAUUCAUUCUGGGUCACCGGAGGGGGAGACAUCACUAAAUCUGAAGAACGCCAACUCAUGGAGCCCGUGGGGAAAAAAGGAGAAAGCCAAGCAGGUAAAGGACUGUGAAGGUGUAGAAAGAGAGUGUGCCGUCCGCAGAGACAAAAGUGGAAAAAGAUGAUGAAAAGAAAGAGCAGCUGACUAGCAGCGAAAGUAACAAAGAAGAGAGGAAAGGGUUAACAGAUAAGGAAGGGGAGUUAAAGCUGGAAGUAUGUUUGGCUGAAGGGGAGUGGGAGGAGUCAGAGGUGACAGUUGGUGGAGGUUAUAAGGAUAAGGAGGGGGUGGUGUGGUUCAGUGCUGUGGUGGAGGAGUACGAAAGAAGAAAGAGGGAAGAAAAACGACAGGCCUUUGAGAGAGUCCGCACCCAAGGCUUAAUAAAAGAUUUCCCUAACCUUCA